AUUGAACGCUGGCGGCAAGCCUAACACAUGCAAGUCGAACGAGUGGCGGAAGGGUGAGUAAUGUCUGGGAAACUGCCUGAUGGAGGGGGAUAACUACUGGAAACGGUAGAUAAUACCGCAUACCAUCGGCUUUGCCCAGAUGGGAUUAGCUAGUAGGUGGGGUAAAGGCUAACCUAGUCGACGAUCCCUAGCUGUUCUGUGAGGAUGGCCAGCCACACUGAAACUGAGACACGGUCCAGAAUCCUACGGGAGGCAGCAGUGGGGAAUAUUUCACAAUGGGCGCAAGCCUGAUGAAGCCAUGCCGCGUGUAUGAAGAAGGCCUUCGGGUUGUAAAGUACUUUCAGCGGGGAGGCGUUACCCGCAGAAGAAGCACCGGCUAACUCCGUGCCAGCAGCCGCGGUAAUUC
rnacentral:rRNA from 1 species